rnacentral:lncRNA from 1 species
AUAUCAUGCUCUUCCUCCUUCUAUCUGGUCUACUUUAAGCUCUGGUGCUGAGCCAGUAACUUCAUCAAGACUUAUUCUUUGGCAUCAUCCUAGCAAACUGGAGAUGCAAAGCCAGUGACCUCAGUCUUUGAAUGGCAGAUUUAGUUAUACAGCUAAAUAGCACCACUCCUCCUCCUGACUUGCCUACCUUUGGACUCUAUAUUCUGUUUACAGCUAAAUUGACUCUUCUCAGUUUUUGAUAGCUCUAUUUAUAAAAAAGAACAAGAAUAACUGAGAAGUCCAGAAAGCAGCAGUGCAAGUUUCUGAAAAUGAUCUGACAAUGUGUCUGAACCCUGAAGUAGAAAGAUCCAGUCCACGAAGGAGACAAUUCUUGUCCUGU